rnacentral:lncRNA from 1 species
CGGGCGCGCGCAGCGGCGGAGCGAGUUUGGCGGCGCGGGAGCUGCUAGCGUUCCCUUCCCGGAGGUCUCGGCGCCGCUCCCGGGUGAAGCUACUCCUCGCUGGCUUUAGGAUUCUUCUGGAUUUUAAGUCGUUCUUUAAAAAAAAAAAAAAAAAACCAAAUAAGUAAAAACCUCGGACGGAUAAAAGAUGUGCCAUGGCAGGAUAGCACCAAAGAGCAGCUCAGAGUUUGUUGUGACUUCCGUCGGUCAUGGAGUGUUUCUUCAACUGGUGAUCCUUUGCAGUCUGCUGGGAGACGGAUUAGCCUCCGUGUGGUAUGUACAGCAGGAAGCCAGUUCUUUGAAGCCUGAUAGAGCGAGAUGGGGAACCUGCUGCUGAUUACUUUAUCGUCCAUCCCCCCAGCUGUUGGCAUCUUCAGCAAGAGAAAACCCAGGGGCUAGGGCAUGAUAUACAGGGGAGGAAAUGAGCUGAGUCAGACUGCCUGGGUUUAGAGCCCAUUCCUAUCACUGCCUGUGGCCCUGAGCACAUCACUGCUACUGUGCGUCUCUGGUUUCCUCAGCUGCAGAGUGGGUUAAUAACAGUAUCUACCUCACUGAGGGUUGUAAAGGUAUUAAUGUUACAUAGUAAAACACUUAAUGAUGUUCA